CUUCAUGGAGGGCUGCAGGGAGUGGCUAAGUAUCGUUCGUGGAUAAUGAGAUUGACCCUUGCCAGAGAAGAGGGUGGGUGUGGGAGGUUCACCUUCUCCCAUCAGCCCAUAUUGAUUGUCAACAUCCAGUUCCUGACGGAGGAGGGCCUGGGUCAGGAGGUGUGAAAUGCCCAAGAAGCCAGUGCUGUGGCGAGGGGAAAAAUGAAGUCUUGUGGAUUUUGCCUCCAAUAACUCAAACUGGUGUAUGUAUCUCCAUCAGACAAUGGAAGUUUCAGUGGAUUUCUCUCCAGCCUUCAUUGUGAAAAUCUGGUAGAGAUCGUGGAGAACUCACAAAAGCAUGAAGUUGCCCCUAUGAAUGGCCCCUCUGGAGUUUUUAACUCUCAGACCUGUCCACACCAAGGCUUCAGCAACUCUUCUGUUACAGCUUAGUUUUUCCUAACCUUUCCUGUGGAGGUUUCUGCUUAUGGAGUUCUGCUCUGGUAAGUUAUUAUUCUCUGUAACCAACUGUCUGUCUCUCCAGCUUUGAGAGCAGCAGUUUGAUCUGACCUCACUUCUCUUGACGGAUCUAAGAAAAGUUAUUGAUUUUCAUUUUGUUCAGCUUUUUACUUGUUGUUAGGACAGAGUGAUGACUUCCAAGCUUCUUACAUGUCAGACCAGAAACGGGAAGUCUGCAUCAUUCUGUUUACCUUCCGGGGCCCUAAAAACAUAACAAAGCAAAUUUCUUGUCAGAAUCUGUGUGUCAAUGAUAUGGUUUGGAUCUGUGUCCCUGUUCAAAUCUCAUGUGGAAAUGUAAUCCCUUGUGUCAGAGGUGGGGCCUGCUGGGAAGUGAUUGGAUCGCGGGGGUGGUUUCUCAUGGUUUUACACCAUCUCCCUUGGUGCUGUCAUCCCAUAGUGAGUCCUCACGAGAUAUGGUUGUUUGCAAGUGUGCGGCAGGUGCCCCUUCUCUCUCUUGCUUCUUUUCUAGCCAUGUGAAGAGAUGUUCUCCUUUUACCUUCUGCUAUGAUUGUAAGUUUCCUGAGGCCUCCCAAGAAGUUGAACAGAUGCCACUGUGCUUUCUGUACAGCCUGUGGAACUGUGAGCCAAUUACACCUCUUGUCUUUAUAAAUUACCCAGUCUCAGGUAUUUAUUUAUAGUAGAGCAAGAACUGACUAAUACAGUUCAGUAGCGUUAUAAAUUUAUUCUUUGAAAUGCCAUAUUUGCUCCAUAUAGCAGUAUAAAAAUAGAAAAUAAAAGCAUUCGAUAUAUCAGUAAUAAAUAAUAUUUCCACAUAUCAGAAACACAACAAACCCAUUGGGGGUUGGUUCUGGGACUUACUGGGCUUUAUGUCUGUAAGGGAGCAGGAGUUUCUCUAAACUAGGGGAUUGAAUGAAGCUCCCUGGUUAAAAAACGAGUCUGGAAAGCUCCUUAGGGCUAUCACUUCUGUGAAGUUUUGUGCCCAGGAAAGAAACACACAACCAAAAUCUUAAGCAAGCCCCACACAUUCGCAGAUCAUCAAUACCUACAAUACCACACAGUGUAUGGGGGAGAGAGGUAGUUGUGAGCCACCACUAGAAGUAGAAGUUGAGGGCUCUGAAAGGCCAGGUAGAAACAACCCCAAACCUGGAGACUGGCUGGAAAGGAUGAAAGAGAAAAAAAUGUCACCUAAGAUGAGCUGAAGUACACAGUCUAAAACAUUUGAAGAAGUCUAGUCUAAGAGAGACAGCCAACAUUUGUGACAAAUUCAGUUUAUGUAGAAUUAAAAUAACAGAAUAAGGCUGGGUGCGGUGGCUCAUGCCUGUAAUCCCAACACUUUGGGAGGCUGAGGUGGAUGAAUCACUUGCGGCCAGGAG